GAUAUUGCUACAUCGAUACCGCAAUUUGAGAAGGUUUGUUUUCUUUUGAUUCUGCUCUUUUUACGGUACGGAUUAUAAUCCCUGGAUGACGCGACCAAUUCACACUGUAUACUAAUGAUUCAAGAUUGAAUGUAUUCAAAUCAGUGUAAAAUUUUCCCAUAUUUAUUUAUUUCUAUGUGGCGGUAUUGUAGCUAGAAACUCCUUUUAUUUGAUUUUAUUGCGUGGAAUCGACGCGCAGCCAAUCAGGCCGCGGAGAAACAAUUUGCUGCGAAACGACGGGUUGCGACAAGGACACCAAUUUAUAACCUCAUCGACGACGGCGUAUCGUUUAACUACCUACGUAGGGGUACAUCACUUCUUCUAAUAAUCUUCGAAGACGAUCUGUAGAACAUCAUUAUGAGUCUGUUGCGGUCUUUGGGGAAGAAGCACGUCGAAAUCUUCUCCCAAUUUAUUGGUUCAGCUGCAUGUUAUGGAACUGCUGCAACUACCCUUGUUAUUUACAUAACAGACUGGAAAACGGUUCUGCAAUACCUGCCCUACUGGAAUGGUAAAUACCCCAAAGAAGUUGAAGAAAAGUAAUUAAAUAUGUGUUUCUGUAAUAAAUUAGAAUAGAUUACAUAUUACCCAUGUUUAUUAGAAUGCUAAAUAAAAAAACAUCUAGAUAACAA